rnacentral:lncRNA from 1 species
AAUACUCAGGAGAGAGAGUGUGGGUAUUUGGAACAGAAUCUCUUCCAAGCGGGUUAAAAAUGAGAGGAGUGUAAAGAAGUGAUUUUGAGAGGUCAAUUCCAUGCAAGAAAUUAUAAGGCCCUUUACUACCGAAAAGAGCCACACCAGGUUGAGAGAUGGAUCCUGACAAGCACAUAGCAAAACAAUUUGGAGAGGAGGAGAAGGCUUUAUUGAUCUGCACUGGGAUUGAGAGGUUCGAGUUGCCCAGGGAGGCUAAGCCAGUUACACCCUUAGCCAGGCCUUUCAGAAAACCAGUUCGAGCACAGGAAAAGAUGAAGUUAUCGAUCGAGGAAAGGGAGCCUAGGUUAUUGAGCAAGGCGAGAUAGUCAACAAGGGCAUCGUUGAGGCCAUUAACUUUUUUGUAGUCAACAGGUUUGAUGGGGUUAUCGGGGAGGAAGAGGAAAGAGUUGUUUGCACAAUUUGGACCCGGUGGACCGUCGCAAAUGUCCACGCAACCAUAAGAACCAAGAGAAUUAGCGAUGGAACUGUUACAGGGGACAUGUUGGUAAGUAGAGGAAAUGUAGUCGUCGCAAUUUACCCAGCUGUAUGUAGCACCAAGAUCCAAUAGCAAUUUGGUGGGCAUGAGAGGGGUUUUUAGGUAUGCAGUGAUGAUAUAUUGGCUGGUUGAAUGGUCCUUCUGGAUUGGCGUUUGGAGGGGCGUUUGGAGGGGAGGAGCUGCCUGAGAAGGGAUGCACGAUAAGAGGAAGAAAAAAAUCAGAAGAGGGACUGCUAGCUUUGCCAUUGAUGAUUGUUUCGAGUGUUGUUGAGAGCAGGACUAAUUAUGAUCUAGAUAAUCAUGUGAGAGUCAUUUAUAGAGUUGCCAUGGAGUCCUGUGUUACAUGGGAAGUACGUGCAUGUUCUGUUCUGCCGGCGAUGAAUCUCAAGAUCUCUCUGUGUGCUGCACAUGACGGCAUACCGCUUAGGAAUUUUGCCUCCUGUAAUUGACUUGACUCGGAUAAAGAAGCAACUUGUAGCAUUCUGUGAGUGUGUGUCUUCAUGGAUAACACAAACAUGGUUUCCUAAAAGUUGAUAUAAAUGAUUAGUUAAAAAAUAUAUAUUGGAGAAACGUAUUUGACUUUUCGUCCAGAUAUAUUCCCUAAUUUUGCAAAUAUGUAUAUAUAUAUUUUUUGGUAAUUUAUAUAUUCUUUAAUUAAAACUGUUUGCAUUAAAAAAAUAACUGUUCAUGCCAUGGUGGUGCAUUUAUUAGUUUAACCCACUAAUCUACCUCUACGAAGGUGAACAACAAAAUAAUUGAGAUUUAGUUAGUGUUUGGCAAAGUUGCUGGUUGCAGUUUGUCAAUUUUUUUUUACUAUUUAAAAUUAAUUUUUUAGUGUUUUUGAAUCAUUUUUAUGUGUUGAUAUAAAAAAAAUUCAAAAAUAUAUUAUUUUUGAUGCAUUUUUGAAUGAAAAAUACUUUAAAAAGUAACCACUAUCAAUAUUAUAGAAUGUAUAUAUAUAGGAAAUAAUAUAGUCAUACUCUUGUGUUGUAAUCUACCAUUACUAUUGUAUAUUGCCCUACACAUAUAUAUAAAAAAAGGUUGGCUAACUAAUAGGUUAAGCCUCCUAAUUAUUCUCAACUUGGUAUUAGAGCCUUCUGCAAUCAAAACUCUUAUUUCCUCUCCCUAUGGACUCUGCUGUUGCUGCCGCCUUUUCCCCCCACCAAACUGGCAGUGCAGCCCAGCCAUUCAGAAGCUGUUGCUAAUGGUUCUUUCUCCCACUAGCAGCAACCCCAACCUACAGAGCAGAACCAUGGUUCCUUCUCCCAUGUUUUUGUCGUCCUACUUCACAUCAUAGGGACAACAACUCCUUCUAUCGUUGCAUUAUCCAACAAUCAUCAAGUGGUUUCAUUGAAGUUUACGAACACUAACUAUCUAUAUUGGUAAAUGCAGAUUAAGCCAUGUUUUAUUGGUUAAGAUGUUUUCCACUUUGUCGAUGGUUUAGUGUCGUGUCCUUCCUCUCAUGUUUCUGAUAGUUUUGAUGGCUCUUCUUCGACAAUCAACCGUUAUUUUCUUCGAUGGAAGCAACAUGAUCAGCUUAUUUUAAGCUCGUUACUCUCCCCUCUCUCUAUGAACAUCCUGCAUCUUGUGGUAGAUUGUCAGACUUCUUCUUGUGUUUGGCGCACUUUUGAGAAAGCGCUUGCUUCUCCGUUGAAUUCUCAUAUUAUGCAACUCCAUGGUCUUUUCAAGAUCUUCAGUAAGGAGAUGCUUUGGUUGCUACAUACAUGCAGCACGCUAAGUCAUUAUUUGAUGAAUUGGCUCCUGCUGGCCGACCCCUUUCUUUUAAAGACUUCAACCUCUAUAUAUUUUAUGGUCUUUGUGGUGAGUUUAAAGACUUGGUAACUAGUCUCAUGACCAAGGCAGAAUCACUAUCAUACGCUGACCUUCACAACUAUCUUCUUACUCAUGAGUUUCUGUAUAAGACUUCUCUUCAAUCCUUGGAUGUAAAUUCACCUUUACUGCCCAUACCAUCUUUGCUGUCCUCUGCUCACCUUGCCCAGCACAUCAUAACCCCAAUUUUAGACAUAACAAAGGUCGUUCUUGCGGCAAUUAGAUCUCCAAUAGCAAUAGGUACAACAACCAACACAAGUUUGAUUUUCACGGUUCUCAUUCCUUUGCUUCCAUGAACUAGAAGCAGGGUCAUUGGCAGCAACCCAAACAACCUACUACUGGUGGGCAGUGGACUCCUCACCGGUCCUUCGACCAGAACGUUAAGUGUCAGCUAUGCUUUUACUUCAGCUACACAGACCCGUAAUGUGCUCAGCUUCGUAGCAAUGGUUACCAACCCUCUGCCUAUUGUGUUGGUAUUGUUUCUACCCUUACUUGGUUUCCAGACACUAGUACGAACCAACACGUUACGCCUGAUCUUGCAAUUCUGACUGAUUAUGCACCUUAUAAAUGAUCACUUGAAUGUUGGUAAGGGUCUUUCCAUAUCACAUAUUGGGCAUACCAUGUUACGUUCCUCUAAACGUACCUUUACAUUAUCUAAUGUUCUCUAUGUUCCUUACAUUACUAAACCAUUGCUAUCUGUUUAAAAUUUUUAUCGUGAUAAUAACGUUUAUUUUGAAUUUCACGCCUUUAUGUUUUAUGUAAAGCAUCUCACCACGAAAGCAAUUCUCCUUCCGGUCAGAGCAAUGAUGUUCGAUAUAUGUUCUCUCCCUUUUUCCACCACCAUUCCUCAAGCUUAUUGGUCUCUUUGGAUCUUUACGACUGUUGAUCUUUGGCAUCAUUGAUCGAGUCAUCCCACUUCCUGUAUUUUUAAUUUGUUAGUUUUUAAAAAUAAAAUAAUGUGUACUUCUAGACACUCUCUUGUUUAAUAUCAAGCUUGUCCGCUUGGCAAGUUUUCGCGUUUGUCAUUGCGACCUACGGGUCAUAAACUACUACCCCCACUUAAUUUAAUAUUUAGUAAUGUUUGGGGCCUUGCUCCUAUGUUUUUAUCUGAUGAUUUUUGUUACUUUGUUAUUUUUAUCGAUACGCAUACAAAAUGUAUAUGGUAUUAUCCUCUUGUUGUAAAAUCUGAGUGUUUUUUAUAUUCUAAAGUUUUCAAGGGUUUGUUGAGUGUUAAUUUUCCCACAAAAUUAAAUCUGUUCAAACUGAUUGAGGUGGUGAAUAUCAUAAGUUAAACAAUUUCUUUCAAACUAUUGGUAUUCAUCAUAGGUUAAUCUAUCCUUAUAUGCAUGAGCAAAAUGACAGUGUUGAAUGUCGCUAUCGUUAUAUUGUCGAAACCGGUCUUACCCUCUUAGGCCAAUUUAGUGCUCUGUUACGAUUAUGAAUUUAUACAUUUGAAUCAUUAGUAUAUCUUACCAAUCAUAUGUCUACUCUUGUCCUUCAAAAUUAGUCUCUUUUUGAAUGUUUGUUUAAUCGUACUCUUGAUUAUGAUUUUCUACGUACUUUUAGUGUCUUUGUUUUCUAUUUUUGCGUCCAUAUCAUGCUCAUAAGUUGGAUUUACAUUCAUCUCCAUAUGUGUUCUUAGGUUGUAGUUCCUUUCAUCUUGGUUAUCGUUGUCUCGAUUUCGUAUCUUAACGUAUAUAUGUCUCACAUCAUGUUUGUUUUAAUAAAGGUGUGUUUCCUUUUGUAGAAUCUGAAUAGAUAGCCCACCCACCAAGCACUCCUUCCCAAUCCACACAUUUGCUCGCCUUGAUUACCCCCUAAAUUUUCUCCCUAUUUAGCUGCCAAACACCACACCCAACAGAUUUGCCACCCUCUCUAGUUCCACCCACACAACCCCACCAUUCCUUACCCUUACUUGCCACUAUACCACCACUACCCAGCCUUGCCCCUAUAUCACCAUCUGCAUGUUUCUCUAAUGAUCAUUAUACAGGACCAUCUUCACCUCUUUUAGAGUUGUAUAGUUCUAGGUUUGUCACUACAACCACCUCUGAUUCUGCAGCAGGUUCUCCUACAUUUGCUAUUGUAAGCUCUGGUCCUUAAAAAGAUUCUCCUGUAAGUCUGUAACUCUUUGUUGAUCUCUCAUCUUAUCCUCUUCAGUAGCUUCUAGUUCAGAUUCUUCUACCCCUUGAUCUGCUACUCGUCAGCAUUUGAUGGUUCUUCGUCCUCAACUGCUGAAGACUGCCCUCCUCACAGCAUCUGCAGCCACCUCUGCUGCUCCUCACUAUUGGGUAAUGUCUUCUCCUGCUUGUGAGCUGCUUACAUUCUCUGAUGCUUACAGGUAUGAGGUGUGGCAUGAUGUUAUGCGCGAUGAAAUUCAAGCCUUACGCUUUAAUAACACCUAGUCCCUAGUUCCUUUUCAUCAUUCGAUGAAUGUUGUUGGUUGCUAGUGGGUGUAUAAGAUAAAGUGCCAUAUGGGUGGCAAUGUUGAGGGCUAUAAGACAUGUUUGGUUGCCAGAGACUUUACUUAACAAGAAGGAAUUGCUAGAGGCCAUAUCAAUAUAAAAACCAACAUUUUAUAUGCAAAGCUAAUGAAAUGAAAAGUUCAUAUAUCUAGAUUACUAUAAUUGUGUGUAUAGGUAAGCUUCACUUGAACUUCAGAAAACAAUUGAAUAUGCAACUAAUUAUACUGGGCUUUCCUUCUUUAACUGGCACUGUUUUUAAUUUAGUUAGUUUUAAUUUUUUUUAUAUAUAAAUAAUAUAAUUGUAUUAUAAUUAUAAACAAACUCAAAUAUUUGGAUUUUUUAGGUGCUUCACUAUUUUUUAACUUAUGUCUAUUCUUUUUAUUUUUAUCUUUAAUUUUUUUCCGAUUGAAUCCUUUUAUAGCCUAAUUAGAUUAGAUUAAGUUUGAAAUUAUGGUAAAAAGAUCAUAUUCAAAAAUAGAGGAUUGAAAUGUAAAAAUCAGAGAAAAUAUAUGGUUAAUCCCAAGUUCAUGAUUUGUUUUUUGUCUAAAAAGUUCAUUUUGUUUAUUUUUCAAUCCAUUGGUUUGAAAGAGUAACGAGAAACUCACCAGAUUACACUGAAGGAAAGAAAAACUUGUCAGUUGGUCUUGUUCUAGCGAGAAAAAUCGAUCUUGGUCUCAACGGUUCCAUUUGAUAAGAUAAGUUCCAUUGCGAUGCUUUAAGACUUUAAGCUUGCCUCAAAAAAUUGAUUGAGGUCGAGAGAUAAAUUUUUUUCGAUUUAAAUUUUUGUUUAUGGAAAACUUUAAGGGUGUUUUGAGUUGAAAGAAUGAUUUAGUGAGGUUUCUAGGGUGUUUCUUAUGUUUAAUUUUAGGUUAAAAUGGUUAAAGAAUACAAUUUUAAACCCACAAACACCCCAUCCUGAUUUUUCUAUCGCUUCUAGGUGGGCAAAAUCUAGGCUAACAGAUGACGCGUUGUUUGCAUUAUUUUUUCAAAUAAGAAAUGGCGAACAACAUUAAUAAAUAAAUAAAUAAAUAAUAGAGGGAUAGCCAUAUGCACCUCUACAUUUAACAAUUUUACCAACAGAGUAUUCUGUCGGUAUUUAUUCUACCAUUCUAUCAGCGUGAAUUUUACAGAUUCAUUCAAAAAUGUCAGUUGGUAAACCUCUCGUUGGUAAUUUAUUUUGUGGACAUUUCUGUUUGUAAAAAAAACCCGAUAAAGCAUUUAUGGGCUGUGGUUCACCGCACUAAACCGUUAAAUUGCCGGCUCCAAUUCCUUGCAUCGAACUGUGAGUGUCGUGUGAAAUGCUCAGACAUCACAUGCUGGAUAUAUUCCGCCCAUAUAUUCUUCGAGAUGUAUGGCAGCCUGAAAUCCUUCCAAAUCAUCAUGUCAUUCUAGCAUGGUAGAGCGUUUUCUCUCACAUAUUUUUAGAUUGUUUUUGCACCUCAUACAAAAAAUCACACAACCUACAUGAUACAAACGUAUUCUAUAUGUGUUAAUGACAAAUGAAAUUUUAAUAUUUAAGAUAAAAAAAAUUAUCGUAUUGUUUUCGAUGUUUCCUAGUUGCAGCGUGAUUCUCCUAAACCUCCUUACAACAUUUCAUUUGCUCUAUCCCACUCAAAUUUAGCCUUGCAUUAAAAAUUUAUAAAAAAAUAAAUCAAUAAUUUCAAUAAAGUAAACGAAUUAACAUAAAAAAUAGCUGAAAUUUUAAGUUAACAUUAACCUUAAAUCUUGUAAACCAUGCAUCGACAUGAGAUUUCCAAUCAGGAUGUUUGAAAACUUGGAUCCAUUGAAACAAUAGAACUUUUAUCUAUCAUUUAAACACCAAUGUUAUUACUCAGACAACCUCAAUGUUUGUGAACAUGAAAAUCAAUAAAUUUAAUGAAAUAUUAUUUGUUCAUAAAUUGUUAAAUAUAUACCAGCUCAAAACAAACAAACUUACAUUGAAAGGUCUUCCUUCCAAUGCGCCUUAUGCUUGCGGGUGAAUGGAUCCCGCUAUGAAGGGACACCUUCUCUACGUUAUGGAACUGCACUUGAAGAGGCAGCGUUGUACAUCGAUAGGUCCCUCUUAUUGGUCGGCACCUAAUGACACGUUAUUGUCAUCAUUACUGUUAGAAGAACUAGUUGCGAUAAUGUGCUCACGAUGUGCAAUUGAUUUUCCCCUAUAGAUCUACACAUAUUGUCCAACUUUGCAUAACCAAUUUCGAUUCUUUUUUAAAAACAUUUGGUAGCACCUCUCAUAUACUAGAAACUACCUAAAAUUUUUAAUCCUACAAAUAUACAAUAUAUAUGCCACAAACCAGUUGAUUUUAUUUUAUUUCUACCAAUAAUUUUGGAUUAUUCACUUUCAUCUCAUUUUCAAGAAAAAGUUUUUAAUCCUAAAUUGACAAGAAUUUUUUUGUAAUUAAAUUUAAUCCUAUAUAUUUAAUUGACAUUUAUACUACAAAUUUGACAAUAACAAUUAAAAUUCAAUAGAACAAUAAAAUAUUUUUGCAAUGUAGACAAUAAAAUAGAAAAAAAAAUAAUACAAAAACAAAUAUAGGCUUUAGGAAUGAAAAAGUCUCACAUUAAUGGUGUGCUGACUUUCAUAGUUUAUCUACGUGUGAUACAUAAAAUAAAUAAAUAAUAUAUUGUUAAUAAACCGAAGAAAAGAAGAAAAAUAGGAAGAAAAUAUGUCCAAAGAGUCACCACAUAUACCGUUAAUUGUGUUGAGAGAAAAAACCUUAAAUUCUACAAUGUGGGACUAUAAUUAAGGAGCGGAUUGAAGUAGGAGAUGAUUUGAGAGAGUGAAAGUGAGAGAAAAAAAUAAAAUCUUAGUGUCCUCGUUGGGUUUUAUACUACAUUUUAUCGAGGGAAUCACUGAUGAAAAUUAAAUAUUAUUUUAAAGUAUUCCAUUGGUGAUUCCCUCGGUAAUGUCACCUUGAAAUUUUCAUUUCGUACUAAAAUUUUCAAAAAACCCUCUAGAUUUUUUAAGGAUUAUACGUGAUUUUGUUGAUAAAACUGUAAAUACUACAUGAUAAGAGAUGCAUAUUUGUAGUCUGUCGGCAAUUCCCUCGAGAACUUGAAACUCACUUAGUGGACUUUAAUUGCCAUCACUGAUAUGAAAAGGGGAACAAUUCCCUUUGUCUCUGGAAUACACCGAUGGUUUUCAAUCCAUCAAAAUUUUCAUCGGUGUUUUGCAUAGUGAACAGUGCAGGGAGGAGAGGAAUAAUUCCCUUCCCCUCUAGAAUACAUCGACGAACAUGAAUCGUUGGCAUUUCCAUCGGUGUUGUGGACCGUGACCAGUGCUAGGGGAGGGAAACAAUUCCCUUCGCCUCUAGAAUAUAUCAAUGGACCCGAAUCAUUGGUAUUUGCAUUGGUGUUGUGGAUUGUGAGUAGUGAUAGGGGAAGGGGAACAAUUCCUUUCGCCUGUGGAAUACAUCAACGAACACAAACCGUCGGUAUUUCCAUCAGUGUUUUGCAUAGUGAAUUGUAAGAUCCCACAUCAGCGGUUGAGGGUUGUGUUGCUGGCCUUAUUAGUAGUGCUGGUGCUAACAUGUUGAACGCGUUUUGGGACGUCAGGCUCAGUAGUAGGCUCGCGUCACCAAGAACAAAACCGUGAGGGCGGUAAGGCCUAAAGCGAACAAUAUUCAGCAUGUUGGGCCGGGCUGUUAGAGAAUGAUGUCAGAUUGUAUCUGUAUUCCCUAACUAUCCAUCAUGGAAAUACUUAAAUUGACACGUACAAUAUAAUAACACAAGUUCACAUAACAAUUAUAUAUAUAAAAAAACUUCUUUGUUGAAAAUUUCAUCAAUAACUAUUAUAUUAUAGUUUAUGGUAUUACACUUUCGUGUUUUGAUAGUUUGUUAGAAUUAUCUUCUUUUUUAAUUGACUCGUCUUCAGCUCCAUCAUAAUUUUCUACGUUGAUAACAUUGCUAUCAUCAUUUUCAUUGACUCGUGCUUGUCGAUGAAGCUUAGAACAACAUUCAACUUCUCAGCGUCAACAUCAACAAAAAAUUAUUGAAGAUGCAAAAAUUUGAAUUUUCUUCUAACUUAAUCGAUGGAGCAACUCGAUAUGGUUCAACCAACUUACUAACUUUAAAGAUAUCAUCUCCUAAAAAUUUGAAUAAAAAGACUCUAUCUUAGUAUAGACAAUGUAGCACUAGCAUUCAUUUCCAGUUGAUAAACCUUGUACAUCAAGUACAACAAUGAAUAGUAAAUGAGAAUUUUGUAAUGAAAUUAAGUAUCCUGAUAAAUAAUGAGUUUAUGAUAGUAUUUACAUGUGUUUUGAACCACGUGAUGAAUUGUUCAUCUUGUAAUCGAAAGAUUUGGUCGGUCAAAUAUGAGUUAUUAGACAUUAAAUAUUGAUGACAUUGCGUACGAUUAAGGUAUUCAACAAGAGAUAAUUAGUCUAUUUAUAACAAAGUUUAAGUGUUAUAUAUACUUCUUGAAUAAAAAAUCUCAGUUCAUCAUAGUUAAAUAACACAUAAUUAUGUGCUUGUCUGAAUUCUAUUUCAGACAAAUGUCUUCCUCGACAACAUUUUUUGGUGUGUCAUCCAGAAUUGGAGAAUAUUGACAAGUUCCCUCUCAAAGGCACUACACGACCAUCGUCAUGUCUUCAAACACGGUUGAUUCUUGUUCUCAAAUAAGGCUCGAAAUAGUACAAGAUAAAUGUUGAGAUCUCCUUAACAAUAUAGGCCUCACAUAUUAAAGCCUCAACAUGCACCUUGUUUUUAAUAUUUUUCUUAAGGUUGAACAAGUACCUGCAUGGAAUUAAACAAAUGUUUUCAAUUAAAAAAAAACAAUGAAAAUACAUUUUUAAUUACAAAGCAUGUGUAAUCUCUAACUUCUUGAAUGGAUACAUCCAUCUAUAUUGGACUAAACCUCUAAAUUUUGCCUUAUAUGGUAAAUGUAUGGGUAGAUGCCCCAUUGAGUCAAAAAAUAAUGGAGGGAAUAUCAUCUCAAUUUUGCAUAUUGUUUAUAAUAAGAAUGCUACAUGUUCUGCACUCGGUCAACUUAACAUUUUUAAGGGAGUACAAUAUGCAGAAGUUUGGACACAUGUCAAUUUUCUAGUAGUUGAGACCGAGGGGUUUUAUCAUGGAUUUAAUAAUAUAGAAAUUCUCUUUCAGCCUGUUCCCUUUAAGUAAAAUUCUUUUCGCCUAUUCGACAAUUCUAUCGUAACCGGCCUCACUUAAUUCAUAAUCUGACUUGAUGGUAAACACAUGUGCAACGACCAAUAAUUUAUGAUUUGUGUAAUCAUCCCAUAAUGGUUCGUCAGAAUCUUUCAAAAGAUAAAAAAACCUAGUCGCAUCUGUAUUAGGUUCUUCAUCUAUGAUUAGACAUUGAGUGACAUGACUCUGACUUAUUCUCAUCGCAUCCAUAACCAUAGUCCUAUAAGAAUUACUGUUGUCAUUUACAACUCCAUACAUGUUGUUAACACUAUAAGUUGACCUAACCAUCAUUUCUAGCAUGGUCUCGCGAGGACCAAAUGGUUCUCCAUAUGCAUACCAACACAUGUAUUCCUCUAUGAAUCCUUUGUGAAGAAGAUGCAUCGUUACAACAUCUGGAUUAAGAAACUUUUUAUUUUUACACAUCUUGCAUGGACACCUAAUACCGCAUCCACUACUAAUAUUUCUUGGAUUAGAUGAUGUGUAAUUAAUAAAACCCUGAACCCCAUUACAAUAAUCCAUCCUCCACAAUCUUUGUGGUGAAUCUCGAUACAUCCAUGAUCGACCAUCUAUGAAUUCUAUCGAACCUAUAUCAAAUAAUGAUGAAAACAUAAAUUAGUUAACUACGUUAACUAAACAAACUUGCAAAAAUAUUGGUUUAGCUCAAAAUUAUCCAACCUACUUUAAUACUUCUCUUAAUUCAUUAUCAAUUAUCUAUGUACAUACAAAUUUGUAUAUAUUUAUGAAAAUUACAACUCGGCAAUAAAAUUGUCAAAAUAUAAAACAGACUCGUUAAACAAGCCAUUAUUUAUUUCAUCACAACCCACCUAAAUCGGUAAUUCGAUAUAAGUUUCAAUAAUUUACAAACAAAUAUAAUUUUAUAAAAUCUAAAACAAACCAUAACAUGUACAAAAUCAUAAAUCCAUACUACAAGUUUGUUUAAGAAAAAAACAAUAAAACAAGUAAACACCCAAACAAAAUACAUAUACUACAAAAAUAUGCAAUAAAAAAUUAAUAUUUUAAAAUUGUGUUCAAAUUAAAGAAAUGGUUGAUUUACUUACUUAAAAUUAGAAAAUCCACAAUAAAGUUUCAAUUAGAACACUGAUGCUAUCAAACAGAGUGCUACUGUGAUUGAAAAAGUUGAGGAAGAAUGAGUUGUCUGGAGAUGAGGUGGGAUGUUAGGGGGGCUAUUUGUUUAGUUGCAGAGGGGUUUUUUAAUGAAGAAGGAGAAAUAGGGGAGGGAGGGGAGGGUCGAUGACUAGGUCAUAUAUUAACUAUUACCGAUGAAUUUAAUGACAUAAUUUCUAUGUUUGUCAAUCCAUCAACAAUUCUAUCGGUAUAAGUGACAUGUCAUUGUAUGGUCUUCCCUGUUUGAAUCCAACUAUAAUUCCAUCUGUAAAGGCAUCCGCAAAAACUUACACAUCAUCGUACUAUUUGGUUUUUUUAAAUUCCUUCUAUUCCAUUGGGAUUCCUUCGGUAUAUACUGAUGGAGUUAGCGAUGAAAAAAUUCAAUCGGUAAAAAUCACCUCAAAAUACUAAUAGAAAAAAUUCAUCGGUGAUUUGGUUUGAAUUUGUAGAUUUUCUAUUAGUGAUGAGGCUAGCCUAGCAAGCCCACUCCCAUCUGACCUUGGUCUAUUGGGCUAGGUGUGAGACUUUUAUCCUUUUUUUCUUGUUCUUAUGUUUUUGUCUUUUGCACUUAAAAACAAAUUAACAUUGUAUUUCAAUUAUUAUUCAAUGUUGUCAUGUUUCUCAAAUAAUAUUAUUGGUUUUUAUGGAAAUCUUAAUAUUUUUUAUAAUUAUUAUGUGCUUAAUAUGAAAAACAAAUCUCAUAAAUAUUCAAUUAACAUAAAAUUUCUGUUUUCUAAGAUUUUCAAUAAAUUUUUUAAAUAAUUUUAUAACAUUUAUCAUAUUUUUUAAUCUUUAAUCAUAUAUAAAAUCUCAAGACUUUGUUUUAAUUUUUUUUUUUAAAACAUGCUUUUAAGACCAUCAUGAAUUUUUAUUUAAAAGGUAGUGUUUGCAAUUUACAAAGCGUCCCGGCACUUGGAGUUCCAUUUAUAUGGUCAAGCUUGCAUUCAUUGUUUGUGGCAUUUAAUAUUAUAGAUUCCUGUUACUUAGUUAUCCUUGGGCAUUAUUGGUCGGGGUAUGGAUUUCAAAGGUGUCAAGUGUGUGAUUAAUUAUGAUUUCCCAGAUUGGUAUGUUUCUGAACCUCUGGAUACACUCCUAUGUCUAUAUGCGAGGUGAUUGCAUAUAAGUUCAUUAAAGUCUGACAAAAAUGGAAGAAGCCAUAACCAUGUUGUGAGCACCAAUAAUAGUGAAAGACAUUUUGAUCCAAUUUAUCAAUCUGUUAGCCUUAGGCAUUGAACUGUCAUUUAUUUUAAGAAGAUACCUUAAUUUCCUCAUUUUCACUGUGCCUUGAGUGUCUUUAAUUCUGAUUUUGUAUGAUUUUCAUCUGAUAGUUACUUACAUCUGUUUCAAGCAAUUGUUUUUAAUUAUAGUAUGGAAUUGAAUUGCCACGUUGUGAGUAUCAUUUACAAACGUACUAGAGAAAUGUGAAAGCAGUGUGUUGUGGAGCUUGUGUGGAUUAAUAAUGGAGUUGCCAAAGGAAAAAAAGAGCAACAGUUAGAGGAACCCAUCUCCUCUUCCUUGCAUUGUUGUGCAAGUUGUUGAUUUUGGCCACUAAAAAUAACCACAAAAUCAGAAUUGGAGGAGCUGCCAUUAUUAUUAUUACUAUUAUUCUCUUGAAGACCAAUACUGGUGGUGAAGCUAGGAGAAAAGGACUUGUAAGAAUCUUGCAAUUCUUGUAAACAAUUGUUGUUUCCUGGCUUAGCAGCAAGAUUUGGAAAAUUAAAUGGGUUGAGUUCUUCAUCAUCGUCAUCAAAAGUCAAAGAAGUCAAGCACUCAAAAGCAAGGUUGUUAAUUUCGUUUCGAUAGGGGUUUCGUUUUUUUUAAUUUGAAUGGAAUGGAAUGUUUCAGUUUCGGAGUGUUUCAGUGUGCCGUUUCGGGGUUGUACUGUUUAUAUAUAUUCAACAAACAUAAUUCAAAUUCAAGAUAAAUUAAUUAUAAAUUAUGCAAUACAAACACAAUACCAAACAAAUAUAAUUUCAAAAUUUAAAAUAUUUCUAAAUAGUCAAGGUUAAAUAGAUCUUUAACUUAAAGUAAUUCAACUUAAAUAAAAUAUCAAAAUAUUAUGAAAGUAAAAUGUUUUAACAAAAAUAUUUUAAAUAUAAAGUUAGGUCAAUGUUAUCAAGUGGCUAAUGGAAUCUAAAGCAUCCCUUGUUUUGCUCAAAUUCCUACAAAGUAUAAACAUGAAAAACAACAACAUGAAUAUAAACCAUAUAUAUUAGUGAUAAAUCUAAUUUUAAAAAAUUAAUAUCAUUGUUAAUGAAAAUAGUAAUAAUAAUUUUCAAUAUUAUUAUUAAUAUCAUUACUAUUGAAAAUAGUAAUGAAAAAGAGCUUUUUAUAAUCGGGUGGUUUAGAUAAUGAAAUUGAGCAAGGUUCAAUUUGAUUCAAUGGCUUUUCAAGAGCGGAACGGAACAUGUGAAAUGAAUACGGAACGUUUCGGGCGGAAUUUAGCUGAAAAAUCCGGAACGGGCCGAGAUUUAAAAUGAGAUGAAAUUUAUUUCGUUUUUUGAAUUGGUAUGAAAUGUUUCGGUCAUUUCGGGCGGAACGGAACAGAAUUGACAACCUUGCUCAAAAGGGGUUUUAUAAUUCUUAUCGAUGUUGAUACUGCUGUUUUUUUUUUAAUUAAUAUUGAUAUCAAAUUAAAUUGUAUGUAUUUUAAUUAAUUUUACUAGUUUUAAAAUUAAUAAUUAUGUAAAUUUUGAUUAAGAACUCACACUUGUAAUCAUGACUUAAGUCUGUCGAUGCAAUUGUUUUAAAUUUAAAUUCACUUAACGACAGAAUUAUUGUUUGAAGUUUAAAUUUACUGUAACGAUAUAAUUGUUGUGUGAAUCUUAAAUCAACUAUGACAAUUAAACUGAUAUUUCAAAAUCUAAAUCGGUUGCAACGGUGGAUCUAUUUUUCAAAAUUUUAGGUGUUUUAUGGAUGCAGGGGUAGGUAUAUACAAACUCAUUUUUUUUUUCUCUAAUUUCUUUUAAUAUAUGCAUCCUUUUAUUCAUUUAUUUGAGAACUCGAACUUUUAUUACAAAGCUAGAUAGGCCUGUCUUUGCCCCUUAGCUUAACGAAGGUAGAAAAACUCAACGAAAGCAUGCAUACAGUACAUGAUGUAUAUCAUAAAUACAUCAUCUUUUUAGACUUUUCUGGUAGGAAAUUUGUAGUCUGCGCAUUUGGUCCCCUUGGACAAAAUUGAUGAACUGAAACCCAGUUUCUUUGACUGUAGAUCGAAUUGUAGCAAAUUGUCCUCCAACUGGAGACCACCAAUCACGAUCGAUGGGCCAUCAAUGGUCCCACCAUCCACAACACCCAAGCACCAAAGAUCAACACUCUGCUUUGUAACCCUCACCAUAGAGUUCGAUCCAAACAUCUUCCAAACCACAUCUUGUCUAUCCAACACAAGUUCGAUUAUUGGUACAGCCGGUCCCAUUUGUGUAGUCUUCACAGCACCCGCAGGGUAGCAGACUCUGAAUGGCUUGACAGGCUUUGUUGUAGUAAGAUUGAAAGCAGAGGAAGCUGCUUCCUUCAAGAAAGCCAGAGUAAAAGCCUUGUAAAUAGAACUCUGUAACUUCGUGUAUGGCACAAGAGUGCUGAUCCUGGUCCCCCCAGAACCAGACUGGUCAUCAAUGGCCAACAGCGCUUUGUCAAAAGCCACCAUCUUUCCGUUCACUUUUAUGGAAGUCAGCCCUACAUAAUAUUCAGGAGAGAGUCUGUGGGUAUUUGGAUCCGAAUCUCUUCCAAGCGGGUUAAAGAUAAGAGGAGUGUAAAGAAGUGAUUUUGAGAGGUCAACUCCAUGUAAGAAAUUAUAAGGCCCUUUACUACCGAAAAGAGCCACACCAGGUUGAGACGUGGAUCCUGACAAGCACAUAGCAAAACAAUUUGGAGAGGAGGAGAAGGCUUUAUUGAUCUGUACUGGGAUUGAGAGGUUCGAGUUGCCCAGGGAGGCUAAGCCAGUUACACCCUUAGCUAGGCCUUUCAGAAAACCAGUUCGAGCACAGGAAAAGAUGAAAUUAUCGAUCGAGGAAAGGGAGCCUAGGUUAUUGAGCAAGGCGAGAUAGUCAACAAGGGCAUCGUUGAGGCUAUUAACUUUUUUGUAGUGAACAGUUUCGAGGGGUUUGUCAAGGAGGAAGAGGAAAGAGUUGUUUGCACAAUUUGGACCCGGUGGACCGUCGCAAAUGUCCUCGCAACCGUAAGCACUAAGAGAAUUAGCGAUGGAACUGUUACAGGGGACAUGCUGGUAAGUGGAGGAAAUGUAGUCGUCGCAAUUUACCCAGCUGUAUGUAGCACCAAGAUCCAAGACCAAUUUGGUGGGCAUGAGAGGGGUUUUUAGGUAUGCAGUGAUGAUAUAUUGGCUGGUUGAAUGGUCCUUCUGGAUUGGCGUUUGGAGGGGCGUUUGGAGGGGAGGAGCUGCCUGAGAAGGGAUACACGAUAAGAGGAAGAAAAAAAUCAGAAGAGGGACUGCUAGCUUUGCCAUUGAUAAUUGUUUCGAGUGUUGUUGAGAGCAGGACUAAUUAUGAUCUAGAUAAUCAUGUGAGAGUCAUUUAUAGAGUUGCCAUGGAGUCCUCUGUUACAUGGGAAGUACGUGCAUGUUCUGUUCUGCCGGCGAUGAAUCUCAAGAUCUCUCUGUGUGCUGCACAUGACGGCAUACCGCUUAGGAAUUUUGCCUCCUGUAAUUGACUUGACUCGGAUAAAGAAGCAACUUGUAGCAUUCUGUGAGUGUGUGUCUUCAUGGAUAACACAACAGUUUCCUAAAAGUUGAUUGAUAUAAAUGAUUCGUUAAAAAAAUAUAUCUCGGAGAAACGUGUUUUGACUCUUGGUCAACGCAGAUAUAUUCCCUAAUGUUUUAAAUUUCAAUUUUUUUUUGUUGUAAUUUAUAUAUUCUUGAAUUAAAACCAGGUUAUAUUUAUUAGUUUAACCCACUAACCUACCUUUAUGAAGGUGAACAACAAAAUUAUUGAGAUUUAGUUAGUGUUUGGCAAAGCCCGUAGAGUGUAUUUUUAAAAACAUUUGAUUGUUUAAAAUUAAUUGUUUUACUGUUUUUAAAUUAUUUUUAUGUAAUGAUAUUAAAAAAAAUUUAAAAUUAAUAAAAAAAUUAUUUUAAUAUAUUUUGAAAUCAAUCAUAUAUAUAUAUAUAUAUAUAUAUAUAUAUAUAUAUGUAUUUGCAAAUUGAAAAUAUAUUAAUAAUGCCUACCUAUUUUUGUAUUGAAAUAUAUAAUUAAUAAUGCCAAACAUUUUCACGUAAAAACUACUUUGACUACAUCCAUUUCUAAAUGAAUAACAACCAAUAUUUCUAUAUGACAUUAAUUACAUUUCAUGACUUCACGUAAAACUUCUGUAAAAUUACAAGUCACAUAAAAUCACAUCAAUAAUCAUUACUUUAUAAUGACUUUAGCCAAAGCUUUUUUUUUUAUAUAUAUAUAUAUAUAUAUAUAUAGAUCAACACUCCAAUCAUGCUCCCACUGACUUCGAUGCCAUCACAAGACCAGCGGGAGAAAUGGUCGGAUUUGGCAUACUGUGUGUCACUGUCGGUGGCUUGUAUGUGGUGGAAGGAUUUGUUUUUUAUCGAUGGAAUCGUGAUUUUGGAUGGGCCAGGGGAGGGGAUAUUUUGGGGGGGAGGGAUAUUGGUGAGAACCUUGAAUAAUCCACCUUCAUUUCUCAUGGAAAGGUCUGCAUUAAACAUAAAAAUAUUAAUAAAUGCUAAGAAUUGUGCACAGAAAUAUAAAACGAAGAAGUGGAAUAUUUGCUAAAAAGAAAGAAUAAUAUUUUUAUAUCCAAUUCUUUUAUUAAUCACAUUAAAUAUUGUGCUUAUUAAUUCACUAUUCAUCAGAACACAAACCAUUGUUCUCUGCAACAAUUUUUUGUUUCACUUAGAAUUAUCUUGCUACUAUAAAAAAUACUAGUUGAAAUAUUGGAGAAAAAUUUUAAACACAUUAAAACAGAAGCCCAUAUGAAUAUUUACCUAGUAAAUAGUUACUUUUCACUGAGUGAUGAUGUCUAAAAAAAUCAAAGUAAUCUAGGAAUAGAGCUUUCGGAUUGAAUAAUUACUUAAUCAAUUGUUUUGAAUGUUUCAUGGUGGAUUUAUAGUUCAUGAGUUUUUUUUUUUUAUAUAGAGGAUUGUCUAUAGUGUAAUUUUACCCUUAUGAUAUUUGAAGUUGUAUUCUACUUAAAAUAAAACGUAUUAAAUCAAUAUAAAAUACUAAGAGAUAAAUUCUCUGAUGAGUGUUGGGCUUAGACAAGGUGUCUGAGCCCAUAAGAGGUGAAAGUGGGUAUGGGUGGGUUGCCUAGACCUAAACAUGCUAGGCUUGGGCUUGACAACUCAAGCCCAUAAAAGGUGAAAAUGGAUCUGGGCAUACUACUUAGACUUAAACACGUUGGGCUCAGGCAUGAAAUCUUGAUCCCACUAGAGGUGAAAGUGGGUUUAGGCGCGCUAUUUGGACCAAAGCAUGUUGGACUUAAGGCAUGGAAUCCCAAGCCCAUAAUAAUGCUGAGGUGGACGCCCAGCACCAAAGGUGCAGGGCAUGCGCCCUGCAUGGGCUCGAGCAAUAGCCUGAGCCCCCUCUUCUUGGGCCCCUAUAGUAUUUUGGGCUUAGAAAUCAACUUAGGGAUUGUUUUUAAUUGAAAAGACGAGAGAUGAGAAUUAACUUAAGGAUCUGCACAUCUUGAAAAAGAGACGAGAUUAUCUCAAGGAUUCAAUGACACGACCAAAAGAUUGAUGUCUUCUCCCAAGUGCAGGAGUGUCGAAGUAAUAAAUAACCCAGCAAGAUCGGGGUCGAACCAUAGAGAAGUUAAUUGUACAAAUUAUAAAUAACAAUAAUACAACAACAACAGUAACAACAAUAACAACAAUAAUUAUAAUAGUAAUAAUAGUAAUAGUAAUAAUAAUAAUAAUACUUAGUACGUAGCGUUGUUAUACUUGAGAAUGGUCUAAAAGAUCGGGUCACAGGUUUCCAGCCUAUAUACUGAGUUUAUGAAAAGAUCAAAGAGAUAUAUUAUAUAAUAUAAACAGAAUGUAAAUAAUAAUAAUAAUAAUAUUAAUAGUAAUAAUAAUAAUAGUAUUAGUAGUAGUAGUAGUAGUAGUAGUAGUAGUAGUAGUAGUAAUAAUAAUAAUAAUAAAAAAAAAAAAGAGGAGGAAGAAAUUAAUGAGAACUUUGAGAUGGAAGAUUAAUGUAAGGAUUAAACAAUGAUAAAAACAAAUGUCAAGGUUAGAGGAUCCACCAAUGGUAUUUCAAAUAAGUAUAGUAUAAACUCUUAUUACUCAAUUGAAAACCACACAUGAAGGAGGUUCCAAUCGGAUGAUUGUCAUUAAUAGCUCAAUAUAAUUUAUUAACAUGAUCAUAUUAAUUAUCUUAUUUACAUAACACCAAACUUUUAAAUAUUAUUAGGAAUUCAUGAUGAACUGAUGUUAACAACAAAUCAAGUUCCUUUCAUAGCACAGGUGUAGGUAAUACCAUACGGUUGUGCUAUGAGAGUGCCAAGCAUUUGUUGUACCAAGUGUUAUACAACACAAAUCUAGAUUAACCAUUUAACAAGCAAGGUAUUAAGAAUUAGUAAGAUAAAAAGAUAAGACAUGUUAAUAUUAAACAUUAAGGUCCAUGUUGAGUUUACACUAUACUUGUUCUUACACCAUUAGUGUAACCUUUUCACCUUGACAUAAUAAACUUAGCUAAACAUAAUGAAGAAGAGAAACAUAAAUAAACAAAACAAGAACAUAAAGAAAAUACAAGUUAACUAAGUAAAGGAAAGGAAAUGAAAAGCAUAAACAAGAUAUUAAUGAAAGCAAAACUUAAAAAUUACAAAAAAAUAUAAAGAGAGAAAUAAAGAGCAUGAACUUGAUCUGAACAACCAAGCCCUCAAAUACAUGGCAAAUGCCUCCUUUUAUAGGCCAAAAUUCAGAAUUAUUGAUUUGAUGACUAAUUGUUGAGUGGGUGGCCAACUUUUGACUUGGUGAAAAUCCUUAUCUUCUUGUCUGAAUAAAACAAAAAUGCUACCAUGAACUGGGUCCACUUGAAAACAUGAAAGUUGUAGGAAAUUGUCUUAGCUUUCCAGAAACAAAAAAAAUGGAGGUCAUUUGGACUUCUAGAACUCCAGAUAUGGGCCAAACACUGAACAUGUUCGGGCUGCAGGACAGAUUCAGACUUCUCCAUUGUUGCUAUAAUUUGGACUUGAAAACGGCCUUCUUAGAUCUUGAUGAAAACAUGAAAGUUGUAGGCCUAUGUCUUACAAAUCUGUGUAAAACAUUUGAGUCAUUUGGACAUCUAGAACUCGAGAUAUGACCCAAUUACCGAACAGUGUUCCAGUUUGGACUGCACCAACAUCUCUUUUCUAAGUUUCACCCUUCUUUAUCUUCAAAAUUUCAGUAGUUGAAUUCAUCAAUCAAUCCUUUGAUUUAUGUGAUAUGCCUGCAUUUAAGAUGAACAUUUACCAUAUAUUAGGGCAUUUUAUAGUAUUAGACUUGUUAUUAUAAAACAUGCUUUAGUUAAGGAGUUAUUGAUACUUUAAGUGCAAAAUGAUGAUAUAAAACCUUGAUAAAUAUGCACUUUUAAGUACUAAUCACACCCCCAACCAGCUUAUUACUAGUCCCUAGUAAUCAAAGCGUUAAAAUAGAAAAACAAUUUGCAAAUUCCACAAAGCAAGGCAUUCAUCAUUCAACUUACUUUAAUCUAUCCAGAUAAACAAACUCUCAUUAAAUUCAUAUAUCUGCUCAAUACCUCUUAAACAAGAUAUUACUAAACCUUUCUUUUGUGCUCAAAAUAUCAACAUAUAGUUAUGGGGCUUUACUUGGAAGAAAAACAAAUUUUUGCUCUAAUGUUUAAGGUUAACUUCCUUAGGUUGGGAUUAUUAUUUAUUUAUUUAUUUAUUUAUAUACACAUACAACUUGAAACACAAUGUAUCUUUAACCCAUGUAACGAGUUUUAGGCUAAUGACUCCCAGACUAGUUGGUCUUAGGGCAUUAGGUGUUGAGACACCCCUACGAGCUUACAACUCGGGUUGCAGAUACUGAUACGUAGAUAGUGCAAUGUUUGAUUCCCUUAAGCUUUUCUCCUCAACCCAUGUAACAAGCGUUGGGCCAAUAGCUCCCAAGUCAGUUGACUUUAGGGUAUUAAGUGUUAAAACACCCCUUCGGGCUUAAUUGCUUAGGUUAGGGAGGCUACGAAACCAAACUUAUCUACCUUUUUAUUAUCAUUUUUGUUUUUUUUUUGCAAAUUAUAUACUAUCCCUUUCCCUUAGUUGUUACCUUUAACAAAAGAACAUAAAUAAUGUAAUAAUCCAAUGUGCAACCCACAAUCAUAUGUUAAAGUGUGUGUGUGAAAAUGAAGAUUUAAGAAUACUUGUUAAAUGAGCAUAUGAGCAGAAUCAAGUGCUACCAAUACGAGAGUUUGUAAACCUGAAUAUUUCAAGAAGUAUUCUGAUAGACCUGUUAAGAAUGUUUACUAAGAUGCGUCUCAAGAGUCACUUUAACAAAAGAACUCCUUUUACUCUGCCAUCCUAGUAACAACAGUUUUGCAAAUAGUUUAUGAAAUAGAAAACACAGUUUUUUUUUUUAAUAUCAACUACUACCCUUUCCCCCCAACCAAAAUGAGACAUUGUCCUCAAUGUCUUAAGGUAGAAAGAUAGAGUAUAGAAGACAUCACCUGAAAUAGCAAACACUAACAAACCUGAAACACACUUAAACAAAUAUAAGAAACAACAAAACACAAUAAUAAAACCAAAAGACGCAAAUAUUUAUAGAUGAGAAAUUGAAAAUGCAAUCACACCACCUAUAUGUAGGCCAGUCGUAGUCUCACUCUCUUUCUCUCUUAUAUUUAUUUAUUUAUUUUGAAAAAGCAUGUGUAUGUACAGGUAGUUGUGAUUGUGGCUCACAUCUUUUCUUGGUUUUACGUCCAAAAACGGCUUAAACGCCCUCUAUGGGUCGGGGAUAGGCUUCCCAUCCAGUUUUCUUAAAAACUGGCAAACAAGGUCUUUUUUAGUCAGAUUCCCAAGACUAAGUCGAGCAUGUUCUUUAUGGAAUUGGGGCCAUAAAUCAUAAAUUGCAUGAUGCACAUCUCCACUAGGGUGCGUCUCAAGAGUCAAUAGAAGAUUAUCUAAAGACCCCUUACUCAGGCCAUCCUUAAUGAAUUGUAUUUUAUCUUCACGGUUUACAGAUACCAUUCCUAAAGAACGACAUGUCGCAUUACAAGUCCAUCUGGCACAUCUGUGACAGACUUGCAGUCGUUUUGCACGACGUUUCUUUGCAAAAGUGCUUUUACCUGUUCCAGGCAUGUGUGAAAUGAAAGAAUUGAAGGACUCACCUGAUAACCGACCUUUGCUUCAAUCAGCCAACGAAUAUCUUCAGGAAUUCCAUGGUUCAUUAACAACCUCAAUCUUGCACAUCUAGCACGGUAAAUUUUUGUAAUCGCAUUCUGAGGCAGAGCGGGAAAAUACUUUUUCAAUUUUUCAAGAGUGGUGUCCAUUUUCAAAUGAGAAUUGGAUGAGAGAUUCAAAGAAAUAAGAAAGAGCAGAGAAUUGCAUAAAUAUAUACACAGAUAUCAGUUAUCAUGGGAAACUGAAAGAACCGACUUAAGAGUCACGGAGUACCGUUAUCCGCCAUUUGACCGGGGUGAGAGAAACUAGCAAAACAAAAGUCACACCAAAAAGGAACACAAAAAAAAUGUGAGAAAAACAAAAUAAUCAACCUUUAUCUAACGAUCAUUCAAACCAAUGGAUUCAUUUUCACUAGGAAACUCAUCAAAGUAAGCUUUCAAACGAUGUCCAUUUACCUUCAAAACAUUGUCAUUCUUUGAAUUCUCAAUAUCAAGGGCCCCAUAAGGAUACACAUGUUUCAAAAUAAAUGGACCGCUCCAUCGUGAUCUUAUUUUUUCAGGAAAUAAAUGGAGUCGAGAAUUAUAAAGCAAAACUUUUUGACCAGUAUCAACUUUUUGACAAUUUUCACAAGUUUUGCAGAAUGCAUGCGUGUCCUUGAACAUGGUGGGCCAAUAAAAUCCUUUUUGUAAGAUUUUUGCAGUCGUCUUUCUUGAUGAGAAUUGACUCCCACAUGCUUCAGAAUGACAAAGUUUAAUGACACUACUUACCUCAUUGUCAGGAAUGCAUCUUUGAAAUUUUUGAUCAGGACAAUAUUUGAAUAAGUUAGGGUCAUCCCAAUAAAAGUUCUUCACUUCGUUCAAAAACUUUCCUUUGUCUUCAGUACUCCAGUGAGCUGGCAAAUCCUGAAGCAAGAAAAUUGAUAUUUUUAGCAAACCAAGGCAUUGAACUAAGAGAAAGUAAGGAUUCUCAGGAGAGUAAUCAUCGAUUGUGGAUGUCAGAUGUCAAAUCUGUUGUCACUCUUGACAAAAGAUGCAUCAAUAUUUUUGGUGCCUUUUUCAUCCGUGAUUUCUUCCUGAGAAUAAAUCAUUUGCAAUCUUCAGAUUCAUCCAAUUCAAUUUUACUCAAAUAGAUUCAAUUGAUCAUGAACUAAUUCUGACAAGCACAUAGCAAAACAAUUCGGAGAGGAGGAGAAGGCUUUAUUGAUCUGCACUGGGAUUGAGAGGUUCGAGUUUCCCAGGGAGGCUAAGCCAGUUACACCCUUAGCCAGGCCUUUCAGCAAAACCAGUUCGAGAACAGGAAAAGAUGAAAUUAUCGAUCGAGGAAAGAGAGCCUAGGUUAUUGAGCAAGGCGAGAUAGUCAAUAAGGGCAUCGUUGAGGGUAUUAACUUUCUUGUAGUCAACAGUUUCGAGGGGUUUCUAGAGGAGGAAGAUGAAAGAGUUGUUUGCACAAUUUGGACCCGGUGGACCGUCGCAAAUGUCCUCGCAACCGUAAGCACUAAGAGAAUUAGCGAUGGAACUGUUACAGGGACAUUCUGAUUUUGUAUGAUUUUCAUCUGAUAGUUCCUUACAUCUGUUUCAAGCAAUUGUUUUUAAUUAUAGGAUGGAAUUGAAUUGCCACGUUGUGAGUAUCAUUUACAAACGUAGUAGAGAAAUGUGAAAGCAGUGUGUUGUGGAAGCUUGUGUGGAUUAAUAAUGAAGUUGCCAAAGAAAAAAAAGAGCAACAGUUAUAGGAACCCAUCUCCUCUUCCUUACAUUGUUGUGCAAGUUGUUGAUUUUGGCCACUAAAAAUGACCCCAAAAUCAGAAUUGGAGGAGCUACGAUUAUUAUUAUUAUUAUUAUUCUCUUGAAGACCAAUAAUGGUGGUGAAUCUAGGAGAAAAGGACUUGUAAGAAUCUUGCAAUUCUUGUAAACAAUUGUUGUUUCCUGGCUUAGCAGCAAGAUUUGGAAAACAAAAUGGGUUGAGUUCUUCAUCAUCGUCAUCAAAAGUCAAAGAAAAAGGCUUUCAUAAUUCUCAUAUGUUGAUAUUGCUGUGUCUUCUUUUUUAAUUAAUAUUGAUAUCGAGUUAAUUUAUAUAUAUUUCUAUUAAUCUUAAGAAUUUUAAAAUUAAUAAUUAUAAAAGUUUUCAGUAAUCUUAAAACAACUCAAACUUAUAAUUAUUAAAAAAUUAAUCUAAAACUUUAGCAGCUAACUAUAUUUGCUACAGCUAUUUCUGUUUGUAGUGCUGUUUGAAGUGGUAGUAGCAGAGGCAAGGUUGUCAAUUCCGUUCCGUUCCGCCCGGAAUGGCCGAAACAUUCCAUACCAAUUCAAAAAACGGAACAAAUUCCAUCUCAUUUUAAAUCUCGGCCCGUUCCGGAAAUUCCGGCCAAAUUCCGGCCGAAACGUUCCGGUUUCAUUCCGGUUGUUCCGUUUCGGCCAAAAAAUAUUAUUUUAAAAAAAUUAAUAUAUGGUUUAUAUUAUUUUAAGUUAAAGAUCUAUUUAAUCUUUACUAUUUAAAAAUAUUUUAAAUUUUAAAAUUAUAUUUGUUUGGCAUUAUGUUUGUAUUGCAUAAUUUAUAAUUAAUUUAUCUUGAAUUUGAAUUAUGUUUGUGGAAUAUAUAUAUAUAUAUAUAUGAACAGUACAACCCCGAAACGGCACGCCAAAACACUCCGAAACCGAAACAUUUCGUUCCAAUUGAAAAAACGAAACACCUACCGAAACGGAAUUGACAAACUUGAGCAGAGGUACAGUUGCUUAGCAUUGCAUACAAAUCUCUGUCCAUUUUAUAAAAUUAGGUGGGCCAUAUAAGUGGGAGCUAAUGUAGUAAAAUAAAAGUGGCUGCAUGAGUGGAGCCUAUUUAAAUUCACCAUAACGACAGCAUUAUUGUUUGAAGUUUAAAUUUACUGUAACGAUAUAAUUAUUGUGUGAAACUUAAAUCAACCAUGACAAUUAAACUGAUAUUUCAAAAUCUAAAUCGGUUGCAACGGUGGACCUAUUUUUUUAAAAUUUUAGGUGUUUUUUACUGAUGCAGGGGUAGGCAUAUACAAACUCAUUUUUUUUCUCUAAUUUCUUUUAAUAUAUGCAUCCUUUUAUUCAUUUAUUUGAGAACACGAACUGUUAUUACAAAGCUAGAUAGGCCUGUCUUUGCCCUUAGCUUAAUGAAGGUAGAAAAACUCAACGAAAGCAUGCAUACAGUACAUGAUGGAUGGUAUAACCGUAUAAAUACAUCAUCUUUUUAGACUUUUCUGGUAGGAAAUUCGUAGUCUGCGCAAUUGGUCCCCUUGGACAAAAUUGAUGAACUGAAACCCAGUUUCUGUGACUGUAGAUCGAAUUGUAGCAAAUUGUCCUCCAACUGAAGACCACCAAUCAUGAUCGAUGGGCCAUCAAUCCCACCAUCCACAAAACCCAAGCACCAAAGAUCAACACUCUUCUUUGUAACCCUCACCAUAGAGUUCGAUCCAAACAUCUUCCAAACCACAUCUUGUCUAUCCAACACAAGUUCGAUUAUUGGUACAGCCGGUCCCAUUUGUGUCGUCUUCACAGCACCCGCAGGGUAGCAGACUUUGAAUGGCUUGACAGGCUUUGUUGUAGUAAGAUUGAAAGCAGAGGAAGCUGCUUCCUUCAAGAAAGCCAGAGUAAAAGCCUUGUAAAUAGAACUGUGUAACUUCAUGUAUGGCACAAGAGUGCUAAUCCUGGUCCCCCAGAACCUCGAUCAUCAAAGGCCAACAGCGCUUUGUUAAAACCACCAUCUUUCCGUUCACUUUUAUGGAAGUCAGCCCUACAUAAUACUCAGGAGAUCUGUGGGAAUACGGAUCAGAAUCUCUUCCAAACGGGUUAAAAAUAAGAGGAGUGUAAAGAAGUGAUUUUGAGAGGUCAAUUCCAUGCAAGAAAUUAUAAGGCCCUUGACUACCGAAAAGAGCCACACCAGGUUGAGAGAUGGAUCCUGACAAGCACAUAGCAAAACAAUUUGGAGAGGAGGAGAAGGCUUUAUUGAUCUGUACUGGGAUUGAGAGGUUCGAGUUGCCCAGGGAGGCUAAGCCAGUUACACCCUUAGCCAGGCCUUUCAGCAAACC